rnacentral:rRNA from 2 species
ACAUGAAGCUGGAAUCGCUAGUAAUCGCGGAUCAGCAUGCCGCGGUGAAUACGUUCCCGGGCCUUGUACACACCGCCCGUCACACCACGAGAGUUUGUAACACCCGAAGUCGGUGGGGUAACCUUUUGGAGCCAGCCGCCUAAGGUGGGACAGAUGAUUGGGGUGAAGUCGUAACAAGGUAGCCGUAUCGGAAGGUGCGGCUGGAUCACCUCCUUUCUAUGGAGA